rnacentral:lncRNA from 1 species
CCCAUGAACAGCUCCCACCCCCCCAUAAACCCACCCCCACACCCCCCACACCCCCCACCCACCCCAGAUCCCCCAGCUCCCCACGCGGCUCGCCCCCCUUACCGCACGGACUUGCCCAGGAUGUGUUUGUAGAAGGAGCGCGUGAAGUAGCACUCCAGCAGCCGGUUGUCGUAGACGGCCUUGGCCACGAUCCUGCCCACGAACUUGAAGUAGCUCAGGUGGUUGGGGUUGCAGUGGGACGAGGGGUUGAUGGUGUAGGUGACGCGGUCGCCGGGCGAGGUGCGGAACAGGGCGUACAUGGGGUUGAACAUCUCGCGCGAGAUGAUCAUGUACCACUCGCGCAGCAGCCCGCCCGCGUCCUGGGCCUCCGCCCCGUCCUUGUCCUCGGGGCCGCGCUCGGCGCCUUUGGCCUCGUCCUCGGCCGCCUGGCGCCGGCGCUUCUCGCGCCGCUCGUCCAGCUCCUCGUCCCGCAGCGCCUCCAGCCGGGCCAGGAUGGGCACCUUGACCACUGCGGGGGGAAAUGGGGGGUUUGGGGUGUGUGGGACCCCCGGGAUGGGCACCUUGACCAAUGCGGGGGGAAAUGGGGGGUUCAGGGGUGUGUGGGACCCCCGG